rnacentral:tRNA from 1 species
GUAGGUAUAACUCAGUGGUAGAGAGUGUGGUUAGCAUGCACAAGGUCUUGGGUUCAAUCCCCAGUACCUCCA